ensembl:misc_RNA Metazoa_SRP Metazoan signal recognition particle RNA
GCUGGGCGUAGUGGUGGGCGCCUGUAAUCCCAGCUACUCAGGAGGCUGAGGCAGGAGAAUCACUUGAACCUGGGAGGUGGAGGUUGCAGUGAGCUGAGAUCACGCCACUGCACUCCAGCCCAGGCGACAGAGUGAGACUCAGUCUCAA